GAUGAAGAACGUAGUGAAAUGCGAUAAGUAAUGUGAAUUGCAGAAUUCAGUGAAUCAUCGAGUCUUUGAACGCACAUUGCGCCCCCUGGUAUUCCGGGGGGCAUGCCUGUCCGAGCGUCAUUGCUGCCCUCAAGCACGGCUUGUGUGUUGGGCCGUCGUCCCCCUCCUAGGGGACGGGCCCGAAAGGCAGCGGCGGCACCGCGUCCGGUCCUCGAGCGUAUGAGGCUUCGUCACCCGCUCCGUAGGCCCGGCCGGCGCUUGCCGACGACCAUCAAUCUCUUUCUCCAGGUUGACCUCGGAUCAGGUAGGGAUACCCGCUGAACUUAAGCAUAUCAAUAAGCGGAGGA
rnacentral:misc_RNA from 1 species